rnacentral:rRNA from 1 species
GGCCAGACUCCUACGGGAGGCAGCAGUAGGGAAUUUUUCACAAUGGGCGAAAGCCUGAUGGAGCAAUGCCGCGUGAAUGAUGAAGGUCUUAUAGAUUGUAAAAUUCUUUUAUUUGGGAAGAAAAACUAAAGUAGGAAAUGACUUUAGUCUGACUGUACCAUUUGAAUAAGUAUCGGCUAACUAUGUGCCAGCAGCCGCGGUAAUACAUAGGAUGCAAGCGUUAUCCGGAUUUACUGGGCGUAAAACGAGCGCAGGCGGGUUAACAAGUUUGGUAUGAAAGGCUUUUGCUUAACGAAAGUUUGUAUCAAAAACUGUUAAUCUAGAGUGUAGUAGAGAGUUCUGGAAUUCCAUGUGGAGCGGUGGAAUGCGUAGAUAUAUGGAAGAACACCAGUGGCGAAGGCGAGAACUUAGGCUAUCACUGACGCUUAGGCUCGAAAGUGUGGGGAGCAAAUAGGAUUAGAUACCCUUGUA